GACGAACGCUGGCGGCGUGCUUAACACAUGCAAGUCGAACGCUGAAGCACCAGCUUGCUGGUGUGGAUGAGUGGCGAACGGGUGAGUAAUACGUGAGUAUCCUGCCCUUGACUCUGGGAUAAGCCCGGGAAACUGGGUCUAAUACUGGAUGCUACAUGUCACCGCAUGGUGGUGUGUGGAAAGGGUUUACUGGUCUUGGAUGGGCUCACGGCCUAUCAGCUUGUUGGUGAGGUAAUGGCUCACCAAGGCGACGACGGGUAGCCGGCCUGAGAGGGUGACCGGCCACACUGGGACUGAGACACGGCACAGACGGCGACGGGAGGCAGCAGUGGGGAAGAUUGCAAAAGGGGCGAAAGCCUGAUGCAGCGACGCGGCGGGAGGGAUGACGGCCUUCGGGUUGUAAAACUCUUUCAGCAGGGAAGAAGCCAAAAGUGACGGUACCUGCAGAAGAAGCGCCGGCUAACUACGUG
rnacentral:rRNA from 1 species